UAAGGGCGCACGGUGGAUGCCUUGGCACUAGAAGCCGAUGAAGGACGUUACUAACGACGAUAUGCUUUGGGGAGCUGUAAGUAAGCUUUGAUCCAGAGAUUUCCGAAUGGGGAAACCCAGCAUGAGUUAUGUCAUGUUAUCGAUAUGUGAAUACAUAGCAUAUCAGAAGGCACACCCGGAGAACUGAAACAUCUUAGUACCCGGAGGAAGAGAAAGAAAAUUCGAUUCCCUUAGUAGCGGCGAGCGAAACGGGAAGAGCCCAAACCAACAAGCUUGCUUGUUGGGGUUGUAGGACACUCUAUACGGAGUUACAAAGGACGACAUUAGACGAAUCAUCUGGAAAGAUGAAUCAAAGAAGGUAAUAAUCCUGUAGUCGAAAAUGUUGUCUCUCUUGAGUGGAUCCUGAGUACGACGGAGCACGUGAAA
rnacentral:rRNA from 1 species